rnacentral:rRNA from 1 species
UACGUAGGGCGCAAGCGUUAUCCGGAAUUAUUGGGCGUAAAGAGCUCGUAGGCGGUCUGUCGCGUCUGCUGUGAAAUCCCGAGGCUCAACCUCGGGCUUGCAGUGGGUACGGGCAGGCUAGAGUACGGUAGAGGGUGGCGGAACUCCGGGUGUAGCGGUGAAAUGCGUAGAUAUCCGGAAGAACACCGAUGGCGAAGGCAACCACCUGGGCCUGUACUGACGCUGAGGUACGAAAGCGUGGGGAGCAAACAGG